GACUGUGAAGAGGGCUGUACCCCAGGGAAGGAAGAGUGGGAGGCAAGCCUCUGGUGGCCGGGAGGAGGCCGACCUUAAAGGGACUGCUCUUGUGGCUAUUGUAAAGCAGUCUACUUAGAAAGAUUGGAAACAAUGCAGAAACAAAUAAGGUUCUAGUGAAGAGAGACAUGAAUUGGAAAGGGCUCCAGAGAAGAUCUGAAUCUUUCAGCUAAGACAUUUGAAUUUUCCUUGCAGAAAUGAAAAACAAGAUUUUUGAGCCAAUGAGUAGCACAGUAAGAAUGGAAUCCUUCAGCAGCAUAUUCAGAAGAAUGGACUCUUCAGAACGUUGUGAAGAGUUAAGAUGCUGGUAAGUCUACCCAAGGACCUCUUCGGUUGUCCCUGCUGAGCUUGGAGAGAGCAAAGUGACAGCUUCUUUACUUUUCCUGGGGUGAGACUCGGCCUCGGCCUCAGCCUUGGCCUUGGGCAUGC